CAGGUUUACCUGUGUGACUGCGUACCUUUUGUAUAAUGGGUCAGCGACUUAUAUUCUGUAGCAAGGUUAACCGUAUAGGGGAGCCGUAGGGAAACCGAGUCUUAACCGGGCGUUAAGUUGCAGGGUAUAGACCCGAAACCCGGUGAUCUAGCCAUGGGCAGGUUGAAGGUUGGGUAACACUAACUGGAGGACCGAACCGACUAAUGUUGAAAAAUUAGCGGAUGACCUGUGGCUGGGGGUGAAAGGCCAAUCAAACCGGGAGAUAGCUGGUUCUCCCCGAAAGCUAUUUAGGUAGCGCCUCGUGAAUUCAUCUCCGGGGGUAGAGCACUGUUUCGGCUAGGGGGCCAUCCCGGCUUACCAACCCGAUGCAAACUGCGAAUACCGGAGAAUGUUAUCACGGGAGACACACGGCGGGUGCUAACGUCCGUCGUGAAGAGGGAAACAACCCAGACCGCCAGCUAAGGUCCCAAAGUCAUGGUUAAGUGGGAAACGAUGUGGGAAGGCCCAGACAGCCAGGAUGUUGGCUUAGAAGCAGCCAUCAUUUAAAGAAAGCGUAAUAGCUCACUGGUCGAGUCGGCCUGCGCGGAAGAUGUAACGGGGCUAAACCAUGCACCGAAGCUGCGGCAGCGACGCUGAUGCGUUGUUGGGUAGGGGAGCGUUCUGUAAGCCUGCGAAGGUGGCCUGUGAGGGUUGCUGGA
rnacentral:rRNA from 1 species